CGUAGGCAGCGAGCGUUGUUCGGAAUUACUGGGCGUAAAGAGUGUGUAGGCGGUGCUCUAAGUUUGGUGUGAAAUCUCCCGGCUCAACCGGGAGGGUGCAUCGAAAACUGGAGUGCUCGAGGGUGGGAGAGGUAAGCGGAAUUCCUGGUGUAGCGGUGAAAUGCGUAGAUAUCAGGAGGAACACCUGUGGUGUAGACAGCUUACUGGACCACUUCUGACGCUGAGACACGAAAGCGUGGGUAGCAAACAGGAUUAGAUACCCUGGUAGUCCACGCCCUAAACGAUGCAUACUUGGUGUGAGCCAUUCAUUUGGUUCGUGCCGGAGCUAACGCGUUAAGUAUGCCGCCUGGGGAGUACGGUCGCAAGGCUG
rnacentral:rRNA from 1 species